rnacentral:tRNA from 3 species
GGCGACGUAGCCAAGGGGUAAGGCAGCGGUCUGCAAAACCGCGAUCGCCGGUUCGAAUCCGGCCGUCGCCU